GAGGUUGUGGCUCAGUGGUACAGCACUUGCCUAGCAUGUGUGAGGCACUGGGUUUGAUUCUCAGCACCACA
rnacentral:tRNA from 1 species